ACUUAAUUGGAGAGUUUGAUCCUGGCUCAGAAUGAACGCUGGCGGCGUGCUUAACACAUGCAAGUCGCACGAGAACUCCUUAGCUUGCUAAGGAUAGUAAAGUGGCGCACGGGUGAGUAUCGCGUGGGUAAUCUACCUUCAAAUCGGGGAUAACAUUGCGAAAGCGAUGCUAAUACCGGAUAACAUCCAUAUAACCUCGGUUUAAUGGAUCAAAGGUGGCCUCUACAUGUAAGCUUCCGUUUGAAGAUGAGCCCGCGUCCCAUUAGCUUGUUGGUAGGGUAACGGCCUACCAAGGCGACGAUGGGUAGCUGGUCUGAGAGGAUGAUCAGCCACACUGGAACUGACACACGGUCCAGACUCCUACGGGAGGCAGCAGUGAGGAAUUUUGCGCAAUGGGGGAAACC
rnacentral:rRNA from 1 species